AACAAAAGAAAAAACCGAUUCCGAAGAAAAAGAUAUCGGUCCUGGUGCGAAAGAAAUCAAAGUAACGACUUUUUUCCAUCCCAUCUCUCUUUUUUCUUUUCUUUUUUUUUUC
rnacentral:ribozyme from 1 species